rnacentral:rRNA from 1 species
AUGAAUAUCUUGAGCUGGAACUGCCGGGGAGGGGGGAAUCCCCGGACAGUUCGAGAAUUGGCAACUAUAUGUCAGUCGCAUUCCCCCACUUUGGUUUUCUUAUGUGAAACUAGACAGAAAGCUGACAAGAUGAGAAGGAUCCGAGGACGCCUAGGUUUAAAAGGGUUUACGGGCGUGGACUACAAUGGACUGAGUGGAGGUCUUGCCCUGUACUGGAACGAGGCGUAUGUGGUGGAAAUUAUGGACAAGGAAGAGCGUUUUAUUGAUGCCCUAGUGCGGGUGCAGGAUGGUGCAGUUCAAUGGAGGCUGACGUGCGUGUAUGGUGAACCACGCGUGGAGAAUCGACAUAUCAUGUGGGAGAAGUUGCAGAGAUUGAAAAAUAUUAGUGACCUACCUUGGCUAGUGGUAGGUGAUUUUAAUGAGGCUAUGUGGAAUUAUGAACAUUUCUCAGCGACACCAAGAGCAGAACCACAAAUGGUCGCCUUUCGAGAUACGCUGGAGAUUUGUGGCCUAGUGGAUCUCGGUUUUGUGGGCUUACCGUUUACAUAUGAUAAUAAGAGAGCAGGUUCUGCGAAUGUGCAAGUUAGGCUGGACAGAGCGGUGGCCACCAAUACAUGGAGGAACUUAUUUGCGUUUUCGUCAGUUACACAUGUACCGUCUCCGUGCUCUGAUCAUGUUGCUAUAGUACUUAAAGGGUCAGCUGAUCAAGGAUCGGCCAGAUCUAAACAUAGAUGA